GAUGAACGCUAGCGGCAGGCUUAACACAUGCAAGUCGAGGGGUAUAUAGUUUUCGGAUUAUAGAGACCGGCAAACGGGUGCGGAACACGUACGCAAUCUGCCUCUGUCUUGGGGAUAGCCCAUAGAAAUGUGGAUUAAUACCCAAUAGUAUUAUAGAGUGGCAUCACUCAGUAAUUAAAAGAUUUAUUGGACAGAGAUGAGCGUGCGUCCCAUUAGCUAGUUGGUGCGGUAACGGCGUACCAAGGCGACGAUGGGUAGCUGGUGUGAGAGCACGACCAGCCACACGGGCACUGAGACACGGGCCCGACUCCUACGGGAGGCAGCAGUGAGGAAUAUUGGUCAAUGGGCGGAAGCCUGAACCAGCCAUGCCGCGUGAAGGAUGAAGGCGUUCUGCGUUGUAAACUUCUUUAUUUGGGUAAGAAAAUUAGUGGUUUCUACUGCAACCGACGGUACCAGAUGAAUAAGCACCGGCUAACUCCGUGCCAGCAGCCGCGGUAAU
rnacentral:rRNA from 1 species